rnacentral:rRNA from 1 species
GACUAUGGCCAUGCCACCCUGAACAUGCCCAAUCUCAUCUGAUCUCAGAAGCUAAGCAGGGUCGGGCCUGGUUAGUACUUGGAUGGGAGACCACCCAGGAAUACCAGGUGCUAUAGGCA